UGCAUUCACUACUGUAAGUCGCUCUGGAUUACAGCGUCUGCUAAAUGACGUAAA
rfam:Salmo salar isolate Sally breed double haploid chromosome ssa20, whole genome shotgun sequence.